rnacentral:rRNA from 1 species
UCUGAAUCUGCGUACGGCUCCGCAUACCAGUUGUAAACCAUAGCGAGCAAACCGUGGCGGCAUCGCAAGGCGUCGUCGCGGUUAAUAAGGAUAACCCUGGUAAUUCUGAGGCUAAUACAAGAACGUACAACCCACCCGACCCGCGAGGGAAGGGGGGGGAAUGUGUGACCAGGCACGCAAAUUCGAAACUGGGAGUGGCCACACGUUCAGACCGUCAUACCAAACAGUCGCUCGCUUUGAAAGUCCUCGUGACGAGUAAACGGCGGGCUUCUGGGCGGCUCUCGCUGUGUGCUUCUGACCUAUCAACUAGAUGGCAGCGUAACGGACAUGCU